rnacentral:rRNA from 1 species
GUUAGGAAUAUUGGACAAUGGGCACAAGCCUGAUCCAGCCAUGCCGCGUGAGUGAUGAAGGCCUUCGGGUUGUAAAGCUCUUUAGCCGAUGAUUAUAAUGACUGUAGUCGGAAAAUAAGCCCCGGCUAACUUCGUGCCAGCAGCCGCGGUAAUACGAAGGGGGCGAGCGUUAUUCGGAAUCACUGGGCGUAAAGCGUGCGUAGGCGGUUUUGUAAGUUAGGAGUGAAAGCCCAGGGCUCAACCCUGGAAUUGCUCUUAAAACUACAAGGCUAGAAUGUCGGAGAGGAUAGCGGAAUUUCCAGUGUAGCAGUGAAAUGCGUAGAUAUUGGAAGGAACACCAGUGGCGUAAGCGGCUAUCUGGACGACUAUUGACGCUGAGGCACGAAAGCGUGGGGAUCAAACAGGAUUAGAUACCCUUGUAGUCC